UAAUUUGACUCAACGCGGGAAAUCUUACCGGGUCCGGACACACUGAGGAUUGACAGGUAUUAUAUAGCAACUUUCGGGUUGUCUAUUGUUAAAUAUGCUAGUCCUUUCAUGAUUAUGUGAUAGGUGGUGCAUGGCCGUUCUUAGUUCGUGGAGUGAUCUGUCUGCUUAAUUGCGUUUCAGAUAANGAUCUAUAUUCUUUACAGUGUCGUAGUGUUUUAAUUGACCCCUCUUUCGAGAGUGUGUGUCUUUUUUGCGCUCGCACUUUACAUUAGGUCCUGAAAGCAACGAACGUGACCGCAACCUCUUGUUGCCUCAUCUCCCAACAUUCUUUUUUCCUUCGGGUUAAAGAUAUUUCAUUGAGGCUUUCCAAAACUAGAGGGACCGCUGUCAACUUCUUAAACCAGAGGAAGGUUGCGGCAAUAACAGGUCUGUGAUGC
rnacentral:rRNA from 1 species